ACGCUCGACACCUACGGGAGGCAGCAGUGGGGAAUAUUGCACAAUGGGGGAAACCCUGAUGCAGCGAUGCCGCGUGAAGGAAGAAGUAUCUCGGUAUGUAAACUUCUAUCAGCAGGGAAGAAAAUGACGGUACCUGACUAAGAAGCCCCGGCUAACUACGUGCCAGUAGCCGCGGUAAUCUGAGCGGGCUGGCAAGGC
rnacentral:rRNA from 1 species